AUGAUAUAUAUUAGAUUAAUGACAUUCACAGGGCAUUCUAUGAACGUGAUCAAGCCAUUCAAGACAUCUACUGCUGAUAACAGAGCAAAUAUCCAGAAAUAUUAGUUCAACAAGCUGAAAUUUGGACCUUUGUGCUUCCAUGAUGCCUGACACAGAUCUUGAUUCUUCUAUUGAAGUGAACAAUGUGAAGGAGGAAAUGGAAGAUACAGAUUUGUUAGCACAAACUCAUAAAGUUUCAAAGUGUCAAAAAUUAAAAUUGAGAAGAUUAAAGAUGAAGAUGAAUCAGACUUGUAUACACAGCCAUCAGAAAAUUAUGCACAAACUUCUAAUGUGAAACUAGGUCAUCAGGAAAUUACUAUGAAGAAAGAUAUAGAAAUAGCAAAUUUUACAGAUAGUAAUAAAUCAUAGUCUUUGGCAUCAAGACUAUUGGCUGUGUCAAAGAAGCCAAACAACAGUCUUUAUCCUGUACCUAUCAUCAUGCCAAAUCUGAAAUCAGCUGGUGAGGCCCAUGGUUCAGAAGUACCAAUGAGUCAGAUGGACGUCAUUAAGAAAAAGUGGAAGUAGUAUCAGAAAAAAACAUGUUAAUUGCUAACUUAGAAGAUCAAAUUGAAGGACAACAUUCAAAAGAAACUGUUUUAAGAAAAGAGAGUAAAACUUGUCAUCAACCUGAAAAAAAAACAUAAAUGUCAGACACGUCUCAAAGCAUUUACUACACCUUCACAGUUAAAACGCCACCAGCCUGUUCAUUCUGGUGAAAAACCUUAUAAAUGUGAAAUAUGUUUCAAAAGAUUUUCUUCACCUUCAUCUUUAAAAAGACACCAUUCUAUUCAUGAUGGCAAUUAUCCAUUUUAAUGUCAAAUACCGGUAUGUCAAAAAAGAUUUAAUCUACCUUCACAUUCAAAAAGACACCAAAGCAUCCAUUCUGAUGAAACACCAUUUAAAUGUCAAAUAUGUCAAAAAAGAUUUGCUGAUAAUUCCAAUUAAAAAAAAAACACCACCGUAUUAGUAGUGGAAAACACAUUUCAAUGUCAAGUAUGCUAAAAAAAGAUUAACUGAUCAUUCAGCUUUAAAGCCACACCAGCAUAUCCGUACUGGUGGAAAGCUAUUUCAAUGUCAAAUAUGUCAAAAGAGAUUUACUACAUC